CAAGUUCCAAUUCUAAUUCAACCAGCAACAGGCAAAUGAAAGAGGAAGAAUUCACUCACAUAGCAAUCUUUCCCUUCGGCCCGAUAGCGCGCCUCCCUCAAAUCCGCAAUGCUGCCUCGCACUUGUUCUCCACGAUAUUCAAGAACCUACAGGUGAACACGAAAGCAUGAGUUUGUUGUUGUUGCAAAUUGUUCAAGGAAAGAGAGGAUGGAAUAUGGCAAUUAAAAUUUGUCAAACUUCGCAUGUUUUCUUACUUUGUUUUACAAUGUGAAACCAGUUAGACAAGCCAAAGAUUUGUUAAGAUAUUGUUCAAUGUAUCUCAAAACCAGUUGGAGUGGCA